CGGGUAUAGCUUAAUGGUAAAGCCCUAGCCUUCCAAGCUAGUUAUGCGAGUUCGAUUCUCGCUACCC
rnacentral:tRNA from 1 species